GACAGAGGAUGCAAGCGUUAUCCGGAAUGAUUGGGCGUAAAGAGCUCGUAGGCGGUUUGUCGCGUCGAAUGUGAAAACCCGGGGCUCAACCCCGGGCCUGCAUUCGAUACGGGCAGACUAGAGUUCGGUAGGGGAGUCUGGAAUUCCUGGUGUAGCGGUGAAAUGCGCAGAUAUCAGGAGGAACACCGGUGGCGAAGGCGGGACUCUGGGCCGAUACUGACGUGAGGAGCGAAAGCGUGGGGAGCAAACAGG
rnacentral:rRNA from 1 species